GGUAAUACAUAUAUACACAAGUCUUUCUAUUUCAUUUUUUUGUUAACUAUAAUUUGAAAUUGAGUUAAGUAUAUGAAUACAUGUUUUGUUGUUCAGAUUGUAACGGAGCAUGUGGUGCGAGGUGCCGUUUAUCAUCUCGUCCAAAUCUCUGCAAAAGAGCUUGUGGAACUUGCUGUCAACGUUGCAACUGUGUCCCACCUGGUACUUCUGGAAACCAAGAAAUGUGUCCCUGCUAUGCUAGCUUAACUACUCGCGGUGGCAAACGCAAGUGCCCCUAGACUUCAUCAUGCAUAAAUUUCAUAUUAUUAUAUGAAAUCAUCAUAAAAUAAUGACUUCUUGAGUGAAGCGUGAAAGAAUAAUGAUGUGAAAGAAUAUCAAACACUUUUUUCAAUUCUUGUUGAAUCAUCGAGUCUUGACGACGUUAUGUAUAUUUAGAUACUACAAAAUUAAAAACUAUUGUGAUUUUCUGAUUACUUUCCCUUAAGGUGUACUUGCCUUCUUUGUAAUGUUUAAUCGUUUAUAUCAAUAAGAACUAUUGUUUUGUGCUUUCAUCAUUUUAUCAUAAUAAUUUCAUCUAUUGAUACCAUGUUCUUGUAUGUGACUUUAUAUUUAAUAUUCAACUUUUCAAAUUGUGAUGUUUUUAGUUGGUUAAAUUAUGCAUAACAUAACAUAGAAGGUGUUUUUAAAAAUAAAAAGUUGUUAUUAUAGAACUAUUCAUUAACAUCAUUCAUUUGUACACUUUCAAAACCAUACAAACAUGGAUAGAAUCUUAAAGAAGUAGGGAACACUUCUUACGCAUUUUGAAUAAAAAAUGUUUUAAUUAUGUAUCAUGAAAAACAUAUCACUAUGUUUUUAAAAAAAUUACACACGUGGGUGUAUAUAAUAUGACUAUAAUUUUCUAUUGUAAAUAGAUAAUAACAAAGAUUUGGUGAGAAAGCGUUUGAUUAUUUAUCUAAGUUACAUCUGAUUAUUUUUUUAAUCUGUUCAAUUUGGUAUAUACGUGUAAUCUUGAUUCUUCCAAAUUUGUUAAGCUAAUUUAGUUUUUUUUUUUAAAUUGAGAGAACUUAACAUUUUUUUCAUUAAUUUUUGCUUUUCCUUUUUAGUUUUUAAAAUAUAAUUUUCGAUCCUGACUAUUUUAAUAAAUUGUUUCAAAGGUUUAGAUUUAAUUUGUUUCGCAAAUUUUAUAAAGUCUGAAGAAUCUUAUGAUAUGUAUUAAGGUUAUAACAAGAAUAAUUUUUAUUGGAAUUUGGUUUUUUCCUAGCAUUUUAAUAAAAGGUGAAAUAAUUUAAUCAAUUAAAUUUAUUUGAAUUUUAAUAAAACAUAAUUGUGAGUUUCGAUGAAAAGGAAUUUAGCUUCAUCAUAAAAAUAAAAAUAAAUAAAAAGAAAAAAUGAAAACGAAAGUAAAAUUUGCUUAAAACUAAAAAAAAGGAACAUACGUGACAAAUAGCAAUCGGUGAUGAUGUUGACUGCUGCUGACUCACACAUAAAAGCAACCAAACAAAGUUUUGUUUUUUUCGCAUGGCAAUUACACAUAGAAUAAUUUCGAACACGUAUGAGUAUUUUUUAUAUAUAUAUUAUCAGCUAUUCAUAUUAAUGAUUUUUUAUAUAUAUAUUAUCAGCUAUUUAUAUGAAUAUUUCUUUUAUAUAUGUUAUCAGCUAUUUAUAUGAUUAAAUUAUUUUUAUAUAUACUAAUGUUACGCAUGCACUCUUCAUUCCACGUAUUUCAGGAAAUAAAAAAUAAGAAAGCAAACUGGAACUGUGAGAUAUGUAAAAGUCUUGGUUUUGAUGGGGUAAUGUUAAUUUAAUUAAUAGAAAAAAUAAUAAUUAAAAACUAAUUUAAUAAUUAAUGAUAAAUUAAUAUGAGAAUCAAUAUUAAAAAAAACUUUAAUAAAUUUGCAAAAGUCUAACCAACACUAUGUAGGAUCAACUCCAAUAAAUUAUCAUCAAUAAUAAUUUGUAAUCUAUGCUAUAUAAGGUUAUUUAUUUAUUAAAUAAUAUAAGUUUUUAAUUAUUAGAGAAUUCUGAUGUUUAAUGUGUAUUUUUAUGAUAUUAACAUUUUAAAAUAUCUUAUAUGUUAAAAUAUCUCUAGCCACACUUUUUUUUUCUUCUAUAAUUUUUGCAAAAUCACAGUUUUUUUUACUCAUAAAUGACUAACAUAUUAUCCUCCAUAUACCUUAUUUUUUAACAUUUUGAGUCAUUCCAUCACCAAAAGUUCUUGUGCAUGUUGUUGAUGCUACUAUAUUAGUUGUUUAUAUAACUACAUUGAUAUAUAAAAGGUAAUGUUAGUGGUUCUGUUAUUCAAUAAAAGAAAAAAUUCUGACUAAUUUUUUCGGGAUCAUUAUCUUAAUACUAUUUUUCUCAUCUCAAUAAUAUUUAAAAAUAGUUAUAUAUUAAUUUUAUAUAUUUUAAAGUAAAUAAGAUAUAUAAGUGUAUAAAAAUAUUUAAUUUAAAAUUUUAUUAUCAUGAAAAUUAACAUUUAAAAUCAGUAUUUGCUAACAUUUAAAAGAUGAUAUUAUUUAAUAAAUAACAUUAGAUAAUGGAUUACAAAUUGAUUGGUAUUUAUGAUAUUUUAUUAGAGUUGAUUUUUAAAAAUUAUUAGAGUUAGACGGAUGCUGAUAAUUAAAGUUGAUUUUUAAAUAUUGACUCUCAUAUUAAUUCAUCAUUAAUUAUUAUAUUUUUUUUAUAUCAAUUAAAUUAAUACUAAACCAAAUUUAAAUAUAAAUAUAAAUUUAAUAUUAAUUUAAUUUGUAUUAUUUGGUUAAUGCUAAUAAUAAUAAUAAUUUUGUUUUCAAUAAAAAAAAUACAAAUUAACAAUUAUUGUCAUCAUUAUAGUACUCACCCCCUACUCUUCAUAUAUCACACAACUAUAAAUACCCCUCACCAUGCUUCUCAUUCCAAUAACAAUACACAUACGCAUCUCCAUCUAAACUCCACAAUUUAGCCAUGGCUCUUUCUAAGCUCAUAGUUGCUUCCCUUCUUGCGUCGCUUCUCCUGCUUCAUCUCGUUGAUGCUCAUCAAUCGGUAUAAAAAGAUUCAAAUACAUUGUUUGUUUUGUUUUCUUUCUUUAUGGAUCAUAUCAUAUAACAAUAUGAAGCAAAGUUAGAUUGAUUUUCUUGAGUUGUUUCAACUAGGGUUAACUAACCAAUUUAUGCAUGGUUUUGGGGGAACCGCAGGUGCAAGAACAAACGCAGGGUUCUCUUUUUCAACAGAUAGGUAAUACAUAUAUACACUUUUUUUAUGAACUAAUAAUUUGAAAUUGAGUUAAGUAUAAUGAAUACAUGUUUUGAUUGUUCAGACUGUAACCAAGCGUGUGGUGUGAGAUGUCAUUUAUCAUCUCAUCCAAAUCUAUGCAAAAGAGCUUGUGGAACUUGUUGUCAACGUUGCAACUGCGUCCCACCUGGUACUUCUGGAAACCAAGAAAUGUGUCCCUGCUAUGCUAGGUUAACUACUCAUGAUGGCAAACGCAAGUGUCCUUAGACUACAUCAUGCAUAAAUUU
rnacentral:lncRNA from 1 species